rnacentral:rRNA from 1 species
UACAGAGGGUGCAAACGUUGCUCGGAAUCAUUGGGCGUAAAGAGCUCGUAGGCGGUUUGUCGCGUCUGCCGUGAAAGUCCGGGGCUCAACUCCGGAUCUGCGGUGGGUACGGGCAGACUAGAGUGAUGUAGGGGAGACUGGAAUUCCUGGUGUAGCGGUGAAAUGCGCAGAUAUCAGGAGGAAUACCAGAGGCGAAGGCGGCCAACUGGGCUUGUUCUGACGCUGAGGUGCGAAAGCGUGGGGAGCGAACAGG